rnacentral:lncRNA from 1 species
GGAGAUGAAGGAGUAGGGGGUUUAGGAUCCGGUGGAGGAGGAGAUGAAGGAGUAGGGGGUUUAGGAUCCGGUGGAGGAGACUUUUCAGGACGUUGUGGAUCCCGUGGAGGAGGAGAAGGUUCUGGAUCCCGUGGAGGAGGCGGAGGACGUUCUGAGGCUGGUGGGGAAGGCAAAUGACUUGGAGGAGGUGGAGAUGAAUGUGAUGGUGGGUCUGAUGUAGGUGGCGGAGGUGGAUAUAUUGGUAAGUCUGGUGCAGGUGGUGGUGGAGUGGCUUCCUGUGGCGGAACUGAUGGUCUGGAGGGUGGAGCAGGAGACGGAGGUGGUAAAAUGACAGGCUGAUCAGCUGGUGGAGGGGGAGGGGGAGAGCUCUCAGGCGGAGGUGAUGGAUUUGUUGGCGGGUCGGGUGGAGUAGGAACAGGGGGAGGAGCUCCAAUUGGUGGAGGUGGUGAGAGAGAAGGUUCUGGUGGUGGGGAUGAUACUGGAGUCACCGGAGGAGGAGGGGGGG